ACACGGGAAGGGAAGCCACACGGCCUCCACCCUGCGCACCGCAGUGCGCUAUCUGGCCCUCCCAUCUGGCCGUGGCCGUUUGUCUCCAGGGCUGGCAUCGAUGAGACGGUGCAAGGAAACGAGCUCGCGGGUACAAGAGGCCCCGUACUCAAUGCCGCUUCCCUGAAGACGUGCACGCAGCCAGGCCACGGGGUGUGGGCGUGUCCACUACGCCCCCGCUCUCAGGAGCAGGCGAUGAAGAGCCCGUGUCCUCGUGUCCUGCAGCUCACGGAGCCUGUGUUGUGUUCUCUGCUUUGUGGGUCAACACGGGACGUGCCCAACCCCCGAUGAUGCAAACAGCCCAGCGUCCACAGAUGGACGGAGAAAUGCAACAGGGCCCAUGUGUGGAUGGAAUACGACUGAGCCACGAACAGGAACGGAGCUCUGAUGCCUGCUGCCCCGUGCACGGCCUCUGGGGACACGAUACUCCUAUGAGAAGCCAGACUCACAGGGCAGGUCAUGUGUGGUCCUGCAGGAAAGGCAAAUGCCCGGAGACCGGGAAGGAGACAGACACUUGCUGGCUACAGAACGGUGCUGUGGAUGCACGAUCUCCUGGUGGAAUAUGAACCCUGAAACCAAGCGUCUGUGCCCCAGGACGAACCCGUGACGAUCACGUACACACGUGCACAAGUACACGCACACGCACACGCACAGCCUCCUUGGCAAACAGGAAGCACACUCUUGCAACAAUCGUCCAGGACGUCUGACCUGCACUCUGCUCUGAACCUAAGGGUUCGCGCUGGAAAGCGCCCAGGGGUGGGCGUCAUUGAUAAGCUGGGGGAUGACUGGCAGUCAUGACCCACUGCACGUGCACACGUGGUUCGUUCCCCAGACGCCUUGCAUCCCAGAGAGCUCGAGAAAGCCAGACAUACGUGUGCUGGUGUGGUUGCCAUGCAACCAUUCGGGACACAGUCAUGGUGUCAAGCUGCUGGGGCACAGCCCGCGCAGAGCCUGGACGCCAUUGGCGAGAGUGGAGGUCAACACUUGGGACAUCCUUUACGAAUGGGAUUUCUAGAGGGCCUGCCCCAUGGCAAGCAACUGCGGGGCCCACCUGGGCUUGUAAGACGGGGAAAGACACGGCAGGGUAGCCCUGGGCCAAAAAUGCCAGGAGGCGUCAUCUGCUUGGUGAACCCACCAAGUCAGGUCACUCUUCUGCCUUUGACCUUGGGAUUCCUUGUCUUGGGUCUCUUCUUGUCUUGGUUGGAAAUGGGGUUCAUUAAAUUGUCUCCUGUUAAUAUAUCA